GCUAACCAAAGGCCAUCUUGUUCCCGCGGUGAUCGGUCUUUUGUACCGGAACGAGUUUGCUCACCUACAGGAGCUUGACGUGGAUCGUCACCUCCACAGGGAAAUGUGGGUACAACAACAACAACUAAAUAUUAUUGGGUUGCCCAAAAAGUAAUUGCGGAUUUUUUAAAAGAAUGUAAAUGCAUUUUUAAUAAAACUUAGAAUGAACUUUAAUCAAAUAUACUUUUUUUACACUUUUUUCUAAAGCAAGCUAAAAGUAACAGCUGAUAACUGACAGAAGAAAGAAUGCAAUUACAGAGUCACAAGCUGUGAAAAAAUUUGUCAACGCCGACUAUAUGAAAAAUCCGCAAUUACAUUUUGGGCAACCCAAUAAAUAUUAAAUUUUUGUAAGUUGUUAAAUGAAUUCUUCGAAAACACCGAGGCGCAUGGUUAAGCAUGUCCCCCAACGGCAGUGAACGCUUUGAUACGAUUGUGGUCGCUCAGCAGCAUGCCAUCAGAAAUUGGCUAUAAAAAGGAAAUCCCAUAUCAAUAAGCAGACAUCUGAAUAGGAGAGCUGUCGAUGAUAUGAGAGCCGUCUCCCCAUUGUUCCUUAAAGGAAAGUUUAAGCAUUUCGAUAAACAAAUCGCAUUACUAUCUUCAUUAUCGUUAAGAAGAAAACCAUAAAUAAGUUCUGCAAAAAAGAGAAAAAGUAAAGUUCAGGCGAAAACACAAACUCACUAAGACACGACGUUGUGAAUAGGGCCUUCAGCCAGCUAAGGACCUAGUGAAACGAGCCCACAAACAAACCCUGAUUUACUCAAAUCCUUCUUGUCUAGUGUAUUUUUGCAAAUUAAAUCUCAUGAGCGCAUAAUACCGUUUUUAGUGUAGAGUGCCUCUAGCCACAUUCCUAGCCGACAACUUAAAGUCUCGCUUAUAUAUUUCCACAGAUAGUUGCAGAUUUUCAACACAAGCGGUUGUCUAGUGGUUCACAACGCAUCAAAAUGCAUUUCACCAGAAUUUUACAAUUAAAUUUAUUAAACAAUAAUUUACAAUAUGGUCGUAUUAUGAAGAGAUUUCAACAUCAAACAUACGAAAUGAAAAAAAGGAAUAUAAAUGAUGACCACCCAGCGGCUGCUGAAAACUCAGACACAGAAGACGAAGAAGAAGAAAACCCAAAAAUGUUUUUUUGCCAGAGAGUGACAAGAUUUCAAACAAAUCUAAGGGCUCUUUAUCCAACUUCUACCCCCAACCGUCCAGAGUUUAGAUUAUAAUGUAUUCGCUAUAGCUGCUUGGUAAAAUCUGAAAUCUAAAAAUAUAGGAAAAAAUCAUUUGUAUUUUAGAAUUUUUCAAUUUUUAUUUCAAUAUUCAUUCAUUUAUUUUUGUUUGUUGCUGUUUGUAGUUCUCAUUAAUGUACAUAUACAUCAAACAUAAAAUAGAA